UGUCGGGUGGUGUAGUUGGUAACACCCCUUCCACGAUGCCGUCUUGGCGUGACGGAAGGUGCCGCAGGUUCGAAUCCUGCCCUGGCAA
rnacentral:tRNA from 1 species